CCACUUUUCUGUUGUUGUUGUUGCUUUCCCACGCUGGCUGAAUGUGACUUGACCCCAUUUCAAAAAAAAGUUUGACAUAGUGCUUCAACAUUUCCGCAUUCCUCCGCGACUACAAAGGCUGCAGCCGCCUCCUUCUGCUUUCUGUCUCUGCUCUCUGUCUUCCCUCAAUGAAAUCCCUUCAUGAGCCUCGGCCCCCAAGCCUCGGCCAAACGCCGCAAGGGUCGCCACCGGUGCAGCGAGGGGAGGCCGCCCGCCCGCCCGCCCGCGGGACCUCGGCUCGCGCGUGUGCGCAAACGCAGAUGCGCCCGCGCAGAUACGCCCACGUGCACCGGGACGAGCGCGCCGCCGAGCCCCGGGCUGCUCCGGGCCAGGGUGCUAUGUGCAUUUGAACCGCAAAGCUUGAAAUAAGCCUGGGGAAACUCGGGGCACGCAGCAAGCAUGAGCGCGCGCGGGAGGCUCCGACCCCGGUGGGCUGCGCGCCCUCCCUGCGUGCACAACACGCCCGCGGGAUCCCCGGCAGGAAGCCCCCGUGGACCUUUCAUUCCUUAGCGGGGAAGGCGGAGCCCGUGCCCACACCUUUGGAGGUUGCACACCCGGGGGGGACAAUAAACGUGGGGGCUCGGAAACACACUCUCAACCACCGGAUCCCCCCCAGACGGUGCGAUUUCGACCUUAAAUGCCGCUGUCUGUUUGGAGAAGUUCCCCGAGACCUGAUCGUAAGGGUGUUUGUGCGCACAGAUCUUCAAGCUGGCACAGGACCCCGGCUGUCGGGGUGUCCCCGGUGUGGGAGGUCCUUCUGGAGACCUCCAGCUCCUCCGGCUGACCCCCAUAACUUAUCCAGUCUCAACUGCUAAAGGGUUAACCCAAGCGGAUUCCGAGGGGCCACAGGCUCCCCCCCCCAACCCUCCUCUCGCUCACCCACCCACCCACGUCCCCGCGGGGGUGCCCAGUCCCUCAGCCCACCCACGCGGGCGCGGGGCUCCUUACCUGCGUGCGGGCCAGGGGCGCGGGCCUCCGGCGGAGCUGGAGUGUCUGCCUGUCUGUCUGUCUGUCGGCCCCCGCACGUGCUCGCCGCGCGGAGCAGCUGCUUUUGGCUGAGCUAAAAGGUGUGUGCAGCUCUGAGAUAGUUUCUUCAGAGGCAGCAGUGAAGGUCCAACCUAGCAGGGGGAGAGUGGUGAAGUGGAGUCUGGGAAGCAGGAAGAGAAACAAAGAAGCCACCCAGGAAGAAACUUCUGUGAAUGGCUUGGCAGCAGGGGCAAAGGAAGGAGGCGCAUGCUGAGGUUGUGGGGCCAAGAGAUGGAGCCUUGGUGCCCUAGAGUCAGCUGAUCAUUUCAUGGGAAUUCUUUCUUAGCCAGGUUGGAUGGAGUGUCUGUCUAUUCUUUGCAAGAGGAGCACCCCAGAAACGGAACACACCCCAAAUCAGCUUGGGCCUUGACAAAGCCU
ensembl:lncRNA